GUGGGGAAUAUUGCACAAUGGGGGGAACCCUGAUGCAGCGACGCCGCGUGGGUGAAGAAGUAUUUCGGUAUGUAAAGCCCUAUCAGCAGGGAAGAAAAUGACGGUACCUGACUAAGAAGCCCCGGCUAACUACGUGCCAGCAGCCGCGGUAAUACGUAGGGGGCAAGCGUUAUCCGGAUUUACUGGGUGUAAAGGGAGCGUAGACGGCAGCGCAAGUCUGGAGUGAAAUCCCGGGGCCCAACCCCGGAACUGCUUUGGAAACUGUGCAGCUGGAGUGCAGGAGGGGUAAGCGGAAUUCCUAGUGUAGCGGUGAAAUGCGUAGAUAUUAGGAGGAACACCAGUGGCGAAGGCGGCUUACUGGACUGCAACUGACGUUGAGGCUCGAAAGCGUGGGGAGCAAACAGG
rnacentral:rRNA from 1 species